AGCCCAGAGUCUGAAUCAGCUUGUGUGUUAGUGGAAGCGUCUGGAAAGUCGCACGGUACAGGGUGACAGUCCCGUACACGAAAAUGCACAGGUUGUGAACUCGAAGAGUAGGGCGGGACACGUGGUAUCCUGUCUGAAUAUGGGGGGACCAUCCUCCAAGGCUAAAUACUCCUGACUGACCGAUAGUGAACCAGUACCGUGAGGGAAAGGCGAAAAGAACCCCGGCGAGGGGAGUGAAAAAGAACCUGAAACCGUGUACGUACAAGCAGUGGGAGCACCUUCGGGUGUGACUGCGUACCUUUUGUAUAAUGGGUCAGCGACUUAUAUUCUGUAGCAAGGUUAACCGUAUAGGGGAGCCGAAGGGAAACCGAGUCUUAACUGGGCGUUAAGUUGCAGGGUAUAGACCCGAAACCCGGUGAUCUAGCCAUGGGCAGGUUGAAGGUUGGGUAACACUAACUGGAGGACCGAACCGACUAAUGUUGAAAAAUUAGCGGAUGACUUGUGGCUGGGGGUGAAAGGCCAAUCAAACCGGGAGAUAGCUGGUUCUCCCCGAAAGCUAUUUAGGUAGCGCCUCGUGAACUCAUCUUCGGGGGUAGAGCACUGUUUCGGCUAGGGGGCCAUCCCGGCUUACCAACCCGAUGCAAACUACGAAUACCGAAGAAUGUUAUCACGGGAGACACACGGCGGGUGCUAACGUCCGUCGUGAAGAGGGAAACAACCCAGACCGCCAGCUAAGGUCCCAAAGUCAUGGUUAAGUGGGAAACGAUGUGGGAAGGCCCAGACAGCCAGGAUGUUGGCUUAGAAGCAGCCAUCAUUUAAAGAAAGCGUAAUAGCUCACUGGUCGAGUCGGCCUGCGCGGAAGAUGUAACGGGGCUAAACCAUGCACCGAAGCUGCGGCAGCGACACUAUGUGUUGUUGGGUAGGGGAGCGUUCUGUAAGCCGUUGAAGGUGGCCUGUGAGGGUUGCUGGAGGUAUCAGAAGUGCGAAUGCUGACAUAAGUAACGAUAAAGCGGGUGAAAAGCCCGCUCGCCGGAAGACCAAGGGUUCCUGUCCAACGUUAAUCGGGGCAGGGUGAGUCGACCCCUAAGGCGAGGCCGAAAGGCGUAGUCGAUGGGAAACAGGUUAAUAUUCCUGUACUUGGUGUUACUGCGAAGGGGGGACGGAGAAGGCUAUGUUAGCCGGGCGACGGUUGUCCCGGUUUAAGCAUGUAGGCGGAGGUUCCAGGUAAAUCCGGUACCUUUU
rnacentral:rRNA from 1 species